ensembl:rRNA 5S_rRNA 5S ribosomal RNA
GCUUACGGCCACACUGCCUGGUUCACGCCCGAUCUCGUUUGAUCUCGGAAGCUAAGGUAGGUUGGGCCUGGUUAGUACUUGGAUGGCAGACCGCCUGGGAAUACCAGGUGCUGUAAGCU